rnacentral:rRNA from 1 species
AUUGAACGCUGGCGGCAGGCCUAACACAUGCAAGUCGAGCGAGCGGCGGACGGGUUAGUAAUGUCUGGGAAACUGCCUGAUGGAGGGGGAUAACUACUGGAAACGGUAGCUAAUACCGCAUACCAUCAGAUGUGCCCAGAUUGGAUUAGCUAGUAGGUGGGGUACCGGCUCACCUAGGCGACGAUCCCUAGCUGGUCUGAGAGGAUGACCAGCGACACUGGAAAUGAGACAAGGUACAGACUACUACGGUAGGCAGCAGUGGGGAAUAUGGCACAAUGGGCGCAAGCCUGAGGCAGCGAUGCGGCUGGUGUGAAGAAGGCCUUCGGGUUGUAAAGCACUUUCAGCGGGGAGGCGUUACCCGCAGAAGAAGAACCGGCUAACUCCGUGCCAGCAGCCGCGGUAAUAC